GACGUAGGGCGCGAGCGUUUGUCCGGAUUUACUGGGCGUAAAGAGCGCGUAGGCGGAAAUUUAAGCGUGGCCUGAAAGCCCCCGGCUCAACCGGGGAGUGCGGCUGCGAACUGGGUUUCUUGAGGACGAUAGAGGAGAGUGGAAUUCCUGGUGUAGCGGUGAAAUGCGUAGAGAUCGGGAGGAACAUCAGUUGCGAAGGCGGCUCUCUGGACCAGCACUGACACUGAGGCACGAAAGCGUGGGGAGCAAACAGGG
rnacentral:rRNA from 1 species